CUAAAAAAUUAUUCAGGGGCUUAGUAAAUAUCAUUAUAAUUCUAAGUUAGAUGACCUUGAUUAAAUCUUUGAAAAUCACAAAAGUGUUAUCUUGAGUUGAAAAUACUGAAAAGAAUGCUUAAAUUUUCAACACCAGUUUUUGAGUUGAACUGAGCUCUUUUGUUCAAGUUUAUUUAAAAGAAAAAAUUCUGUAUUUGAAACACAGGGUGCAUUAUUUAAAUCUACUCAAUAUAUCUCAUAGAAAGUACUCAAAAUAACUGAGACACUGGUAUUCAUACUUAUCAUUGUCUUGAACUUUAAUUAUUAAUGGUUCAAAAUCAAUAUAAUUUUGUCCCCCAAUACUAACUUAAAACUUUGAGUAAGACUAAUGACCUUUGGCAUGUACCGCGCGCGAGGAGCAUGGCCUCAUGGGAGAUUUUCUGCACGUUGAACGAGACAGACACACAUCCACUGCAGACUUGGUAACGUUUUCAGCACCAUCUUCACCACCAGGAGGAAAAAAAAUCUGCAUCAACUACAAAGUAAAGCAGGUAAUUUUACUCAGAGGACUUGAUGUGUUAAAUUUUGGAAUGAUAUGAUAUUGUUUUAUACAAGCUGAGUAGUGGAUGGUGAUACCACCUAAAUAUUUAUACUGGUUUUGUGGUGGGUUAUUUUAGUCAUACAAAUGCCAAAUCUAAAUUUUGAGAAUUUUUCAGUUCGGUAAAUAUAUUGAUGAGUUCAUGGUCUGUCAUCUAGUGUCACCAUACUAUCUUUUUAUUUAUACAGCGUGGUGAUGUGAUUCAGAUUAUUUCAAUGUGGUUAAGUAUUGUACUUUGUUCCAUGUUGACUUAUUUGUAAGUUGUAUCCUCCACCUGAAUUGGUAGUGAGUAUUGGUUAUUCAAUCAGUUAAUCAUACAAAAACUUUAAAUAUGGUUAUACACCAUUCUGUCAUCUUCAUACUGUGAGACAUAUUUUCUCACAAUUUUUUAGGUCACAGGUGAUGAGAUGGCAGUGUAAACUCUGCAAACAUGAGGAGUCAUCAAAAGUGUCACUACUCAAACAUUAUUGAGUGAAACAUGGUCUCGCAGUUCGCAUGAAACGGAGGGCUUCACAGACCGGAGUUUUCCGCCUGUUCCCCCUCUAGAGCCUCGCCUCGCUUCAGUUUUCGGCACCAAAAUGACCAAGGUCGUUGGACAGCGACCGGCCCAUCCCACCAAACUUGACCAGCUGAUAGCAAGGUUCACUGAUCGCGCACAUCAAUGCACUGUUCAGUCAGCUGCAGUGACUAACAACACUGCCUUGCUAGCGUUUGUCAUCUCCAGGAAGGUGGAGGAAGCAGAGCUGCCAGAGGAGCUGAAAGGCUUUCUCUAUAAAGCCACUGACGCGAUUCUGAAUAUGUGCGCCACUUCAGCGGGGUGUUCCUCUCGCAUCGCUGCCUGGCAGACGAUGGUUCAGAGGGCAACCUGGCUCCGCCUCUUCCCUCCAAGAUUAUACAAUCUCACAGGGAAAUAGUGCAAGCAAUUCAUAACAUAAAAUUUAGAAGCUUAGUGGAAGAUAAUACUUUAUGUUAAGGCUUUAGUCUGCAUACUGAACAACUCCACUUAUAUGGAUUUAUGUCUGGAUGAGUAAAUUAAUCUUUUGCAUGUUAGAAAAUAAGGUCCAGGUUGCAAAAAAUGGUAGUUUCACUUAAAGAUUUUUUUUUUGAUUGAAUCAGAAUUUUGGCCUUCAGAUUUUUUUGUCCUUGGUUUUUUGUCCUCUCCCAUCCAGGUCAGUGCAGAGUUUCAUAGGAUCACGACCCUGAACCUUGAACCAAAGUUCAUGUCAUCGUUGGACUUGUAUUCAUCCAAACUCCUGUCCUUGUUUCAAGCCAAGAAAGGUGCUGCUGGACAACGCCACGGGGCACAGUUAAACCUUCUGCUUCAGAGUGGAAAUUCCAUCGAGAAAAAACGAGAAGUCAUCAUCAGAUGUCUCAUUGACCAUCUGGGAGAGGAUCCAAGUGCCUUAAUCAAAACCUUUGAGGACGGUGCUGAUGCUGUCUUUGUUGAAGAGGCUUUGGCUGAGGAGGUGAUGAAGAUUUACCUGCUGCAGAAUCAAGACAGGUCAGGCGAACCUACUGAUGUGGGUAUUGUUAUUGAAGGCGUUACUGUUCUGGGCAAACUUGGGAAUCUGAGCAAAGCCUGUUGCUAUCUUUUGGGACUGUGUUAUGCUCUGGAUCUGAAAUACCCCAAGAAUCUCAAAUGCACAUUUGAAGCAUUUCAAAAAGUGUUCAUGGAGCUGGAUCCAGGAAACCUUUCUGUCAAGGUUCAAAGACUGAAAAAUGACCUCUGUUCAUUGUAGACAAAAUUUCACAGGGCUGUUCUUAAAGUGUUAGACUUGUUAAGUGACAUGUAAUGCUCAUCAAAAGGUUCAGUUGCGGCAUUACAUUGUGUUGACAUUCCUGUUCAUAAAUAAUGUUUGUACCAUAAACUGUGUUUUUGUAUUAACUUUCCAGAUUCACAUUAAGGUGUAAAUGGGAGAGUAUCUUCUGUAUGUUUUUUUUUUGUUGUUGUUGUUGUUGUUGUUGUUGUUGUUGUUUUUUUGUUUUGUUUUGUUUUUUUAGCGCAAUCCUUUUUGAAACCUUUUUAUUUAAAUUAUGGAUGUUUUUUGGUCACUCUUUAGUUAUAAUCUUCCCAAUUUUUUGGAAUCAAAAUAAGAUGUUCAAAAACUAUGUCGCAGUGCAAAUGUUUUUUUUUUUUUUUUUUCAGGAUUUACAUUUUUUUGGGAUCUUAAUUUUAUUUUUGUCAUUUGACCUUUUCUGAAAAGGUAAAGCACUGCGUUCACUUGAGCCACUUUUAUUCUUUGUAUGGCAGGUACAUUUUUUCUUGUUGUUAGCAUCAAUAUGCCAGUUUUACAGAGUUUUAUCAAGCAUGCCAAUUUGGAUGCAAUUUUAUUAUACAAGGCUGUUGUGACUGAAAUUUUAUCCAAGUUUUAUCCACUGAAUGUAGAACAGAUUUCAGCUCACUGUGUUCAGAGAAGGAAUCUGCUAAAUGUGUGAUUCACAAAAAAGCUGGUUAAAAUAAAUCAUUGUGAACAAUGUUGAA